AUAAAUGUAGUGUACCUUACUUCCUACAUUUACUGUUCUCAAGAGUGAAAGUGAGUAACUGAUGAGCUGGCACCGGCAAAGUUUUACUUUGGAUUAUAAAAAGUACUGUGUGGUGUAAUUAACAAUGGGGAUCAGUUCCGAUGAGCUACUUGCCAUUCUUGACGAGCUAGGUGCAGCAGAGGUCAAGAGAUUCCAGUGGUAUCUGAAUAAGGGUGUGUUGGAGGGCUUUCCUUCAAUUCCCAAGGGCCGACUGGAGGAUAAAGAUAGGACAGAUAUAGUGGAUACGAUGGUGCAGGCUUACAAUCUGGAUGGUGCAGUGACAAUCACUGUGGAGAUCCUGAAAAAAAUGAACCAGAAUAGUCUCGCUGGGAAGUUACAGGAAAACCUAUAGAGAGAGGAUGCGACCGACCAAACAAAGGCACAUAUGCAGCUCCAUAAAAGUCAAAAAGGAAGGUUUUGAGUGAGGAUCAGAAUGGUUCAAAUUAAGAGACCACUGCAAAUGGAACACUUCUGUUCCUCAAUCAAAACUUUCAUUUUCAACUUUUUUGGAAAGGAAAGACAAAGAUGCAGUGGACUCUUAAUUUUUUCCGGAGCUGUAUCUCAGGAGUGGUUCCAGCUGGGCCGUAACAGAGAAAAGGACCUUUUGGUGCAACACCCGGACCCUGACAAAAUAAAUUAAUAUUGACAGAGAAGAGGAAUUGACUAAUUAAAUUAAUACAGCCAGAGAAGAGGAAUUGUAAUUUGAGAUCACCACAAGCCAACCAAUGUUUGUCCAUUCUUUCUUUUUAAAGUGAAUAAAUAUAAAAGACAAAG